rfam:Corynebacterium sphenisci DSM 44792, complete genome.
UGUGUGUGUGUUCAAGGGCGCACGGUGGAUGCCUUGGCAUGGAAGGCCGAUGAAGGACGUGAGAGGCUGCGUUAAGCCUCGGGGAGCUGCCAACUGAGCGUUGAUCCGAGGGUGUCCGAAUGGGGAAACCUGGCCGUCGUUAUGGGCGGUCGCCCGCAUCUGAAUUCAUAGGGUGCGUGGUGGUGACGCGGGGAAGUGAAACAUCUCAGUACCCGCAGGAAGAGAAAACAAUUGUGAUUCCGUUAGUAGUGGCGAACGAACGCGGAUGAUGGCUAAACCGCGCGCGUGUGAUACCGGUCAGGGGUUGCGCGUGUGGUGUUGUGGGGCCGCCCGUGGUGGGAGCUGACUGUCCUGCCCGGGGUGUGGAUGUGUUAGCGGAAAGUGCGUGGAAUCGCCUGCCGUAGACGGUGAGAGCCCGGUACGUGAAAGCAUGUUCAUAUCCUGUGUGGCGUGAUCCCCGAGUAGCAGCGGGCUCGUGGAAUCCGCUGUGAAUCCGCCGGGACCACCCGGUAAGCCUGAAUACCUUCCGUGACCGAUAGCGGAUAGUACCGUGAGGGAAUGGUGAAAAGUACCCCGGGAGGGGAGUGAAAUAGUACCUGAAACCGUGUGCCUACAAUCCGUCAGAGCCUCCGUGUGGGGUGAUGGCGUGCCUUUUGAAGAAUGAGCCUGCGAGUCAGCGGCAUGUCGCGAGGUUAACCCUUUUGGUGGGGUAGCCGUAGCGAAAGCGAAUCCUAACGAGGGUGUUGUGUAGUGGCAUGUCCUGGACCCGAAGCGGGGUGAUCUACCCAUGGCCAGUGUGAAGCGAUGGUAAGACGUCGUGGAGGCGCGAACCCACUUAGGUUGAAAACUGAGGGGAUGAGCUGUGGGUAGGGGUGAAAGGCCAAUCAAACUCCGUGAUAGCUGGUUCUCCCCGAAAUGCAUUUAGGUGCAGCGUCGUGCGUUUCCUCCUGGAGGUAGAGCUACUGGUUGGUUUAGCGGGACUAUCAUCUUAGCGACAUCAGCCAAACUCCGAAUGCCGGUGAGGUCAGAGCACGGCAGUGAGACUGCGGGGGAUAAGCUUCGUAGUCGAGAGGGAAACAGCCCAGAUCGCCGGCUAAGGCCCCUAAGGGUAUGCUAAGUGGAAAAGGAUGUGGGAUCGCGAAGACAACCAGGAGGUUGGCUUAGAAGCAGCCACCCUUGAAAGAGUGCGUAAUAGCUCACUGGUCGAGUGGUCCCGCGCCGACAAUGUAGUGGGGCUCAAGCAUACCGCCGAAGCCGCGGCAGUGCGCCCUUGUGGCGUGCUGGGUAGGGGAGCGUCGUGUACGUGCUGUGAAGCCGCAGGGGUGACCCGUGGUGGAGCGUGCACGAGUGAGAAUGCAGGCAUGAGUAGCGAAUGAGGAGUGGAAACCUCCUCCGCCGAAUGACCAAGGGUUCCUGGGUCAAGCUAAUCUUCCCAGGGUGAGUCGGGACCUAAGGCGAGGCCGACAGGCGUAGUCGAUGGACAACGGGUUGAUAUUCCCGUACCCGUGAUAUCGCGCCCCUGGUGAAUCAGUGAUACUAACCCUCCUGAAGCGCAUCCGCCGCCGGCCCUUCGGGGCCGGCAUCCGCGGGUGUGUGGAUGCAGGGGACCUGAGCUGGUAGUAGCCAAGCGAUGGGGUGACGCAGGACGGUAGCCGUGCCACCGGAUGGAAGUGGUGGUGCAAGCGUGUAGCCCGCGGGCCAGGUAAAUCCGGCCCGCGCUUGAAGGGUGAGACGUGACGCGUACCCGUAGUGGGGACGUCGGUGAUCCGAUGCUGCCGAGAAAAGCCUCUAGCGAUGUGAUGUCAUGGCCCGUACCCCAAACCGACACAGGUGGUCAGGUAGAGAAUACCGAGGCGAUCGGGAUAACUGUGGUUAAGGAACUCGGCAAAAUGCCCCCGUAACUUCGGGAGAAGGGGGGCCGCGGCCGGUGACCCGCCUAGCGUGGCAAGCCGGCUUCGGCCGCAGAGAAUAGAGGGAAGCGACUGUUUACUAAAAACACAGGUCCGUGCGAAGACGGGUAAGUCGAGGUAUACGGACUGACGCCUGCCCGGUGCUGGAAGGUUAAGAGGACCUGUUAGAUCACGUAAGUGGUCGAAGCGGAGAAUUUAAGCCCCAGUAAACGGCGGUGGUAACUAUAACCAUCCUAAGGUAGCGAAAUUCCUUGUCGGGUAAGUUCCGACCUGCACGAAUGGCGUAACGACUUCCCUGCUGUCUCAACCACAGGCCCGGCGAAAUUGCAGUACGAGUAAAGAUGCUCGUUACGCGCGGCAGGACGAAAAGACCCCGGGACCUUCACUAUAGCUUGGCAUUGGUGUUCGGUUCGGUUUGUGUAGGAUAGGUGGGAGACUGUGAGGCGGCCACGCCAGUGGUCGUGGAGUCGUUGUUGAAAUACCACUCUGAUCGGAUUGGAUGUCUAACCUUGGCCCGUUAUCCGGGUCGGGGACAGUGCCUGGUGGGUAGUUUAACUGGGGCGGUUGCCUCCUAAAGAGUAACGGAGGCGCCCAAAGGUUCCCUCAGCCUGGUUGGCAAUCAGGUGUUGAGUGUAAGUGCACAAGGGAGCUUGACUGUGAGACUGACAGGUCGAGCAGGUACGAAAGUAGGGACUAGUGAUCCGGCACUGGCUUGUGGAAGCGGUGUCGCUCAACGGAUAAAAGGUACCCCGGGGAUAACAGGCUGAUCUUCCCCAAGAGUCCAUAUCGACGGGAUGGUUUGGCACCUCGAUGUCGGCUCGUCGCAUCCUGGGGCUGGAGUAGGUCCCAAGGGUUGGGCUGUUCGCCCAUUAAAGCGGCACGCGAGCUGGGUUUAGAACGUCGUGAGACAGUUCGGUCUCUAUCCGCCGCGCGCGUGGAAACUUGAGGAAGGCUGUCCCUAGUACGAGAGGACCGGGACGGACGUACCUCUGGUGUGCCAGUUGUCCCGCCAGGGGCAUGGCUGGUUGGCUACGUACGGAAGGGAUAACCGCUGAAAGCAUCUAAGCGGGAAGCCUGUUCCAAGAUCAGGUUUCUUUUGAGGUCCCCAGCAGACUACUGGGUUGAUAGGCCGGAUCUGGAAGCACCGCAAGGUGUGGAGGUGACCGGUACUAAUAGACCGACCACACCACAAC